rnacentral:lncRNA from 1 species
UCACAUCCUAUCCGAGCAUUUUCUCCCGACGUCCUUCAACACUAAGUUCCUUAAAGCAAUUCACCUAGACAUCUUCUCCCACGAACACAAAGUUCAAGAUUAUCACAAGAUCUAAACAUAAACAACACAUGGGGAGUGAGUCAUCAUAUUUCUAACUAAUAGAGAUAAAUAAGACAACAUAUAGAUAUACAUAUCAUAUAAAUGAAAUACAACUUACUUAAACAUGGCUCACGUCAUUCCACCACUUUGUCGCGUAACAUCACAUCACAUCACAACACAACACAUCUCAUUCAUUUUCACAUCAUUCAUGUACUCAAGGAUCUAAACACAAUAUCAAUAAAUCAAUCAAUAUCAAUCAAUAUACAAGCAUUAUGCAACAAAUACACUAAGAUUCAAUCCUAUAUGCAAUGUGGUACCAUGUCAUUGAAAAACCUCGUCGUGCGCCUAGGAGUUCAUGACAAGACAAACCACACACUAAUAAGUCAGGUCACUCUCACUAGGUAAAAUCAUAGGGAGACCAUUUAGGGCCACACUAUUUUGCGAGAAUGCUCCAACCAUGUGGGAUCAACAUAGGCUUAAAGAGCACUUAAACCGGGUGUAUUUACCCCCAAGGCCUAGACUCCAAAGAGUCCAUUAGGGCCUUUCCCUCCUGAUUCAGGUCUAACCCAGGAAACAUUUUAGCACAUAGACUUUAUCUAUGAACUGUACAAAAUACACGACUCAUCAAUUGUUCUUAAAAUAAUUUCAUCUCAUCGCGCUUGUGAUUAAACUCGUCGGAUCCCCACAGUGGUUCCCAUCAUAAUACUCGUUGUGCAUUAACUCGUCACCCUUAAAAUGUCUUAUAAUCACAUGAUUGUAUGAUUCAUAGCUCACAACUUACUUAAACAAGUCAAUACAUACUUAAUUUAUCAUAUACACUCGGUCUCAAUCACAAUGGUAUAAUCCCAAUUUAACAUGUUAUCACACCUCAUGAAUCAUACACACUUUAUCUAUGAACUAUGCAAUACACACAACUACUCAAUUUUUUUCAAAAUCAUUUUAACUCGUGCCUCAAAGUGAUUCAACUCGUCGGGUUCCCACAAUGGAUCUCUUCACAAUACUCGUCGCACAAAAACUCAUCAUCCUUAAAGGGUCUUACAAUUGCAUGAUUACACAAUUCAUAGCUCACAACUCAAUACAUACAACAUCUCAAUACACAUGUAUCUCACCAUUCAUCAUAGGUUCAAUUUGUCACUUACUUACAAUUUGAAUCACCAUUUCUUAAUGUUAAUAUAGAAAUUUAUAUAAAAUGCCUCUCACCCCAUGGGAGUAAAAUCUCUCAAACAAUUCCACACAAUCAUAUUAAAAUCAAUGAAUCAAAAUCAUAGGUCAAAAACACGAAAACACCAAGAGCACUUAAUUUUAUCAACCAAUUCGCAUCCGAACAUCAAUUGGUCCGUGAAACACAAUAAUAUUUUAUUUAUAAUUGUAAGGGAAAAUUAUAAUUCAAUAAACAUCCCAAAAUAAGUCCCAAUUUAAUCUUCUAAGGAUCCCUACAUACGUUCACUCUAACCUCAAUUACGAUAAACUCAUCCCUUACCUUUAAGUGGGCCCAUGGGUAUAGUCAGAUAAUAACAGUGACAUCUCUAGUGAUUCUGUGAGACUCCUCAAGUUUUUUCUUUGAUUGUUUUGCUAGAAUUUCCAAGCGUCACAGAGAAGAAGAAGAAGAGAUUGUAACCUCCAAUUCACUGUCAAAGUGCGAGACUAAUUUAUCUCUGCAAGAACAUUAUUUCGCAAAUCCCAACGAUGUGUAUGUUAAAAAUUAAGUUUCCAAGGUGAUUUUAAAGUUUUACAACCAUCCAACGGUUAAUGAGCUUGGGAUUAUAUUUUUACUGUGACAGGUUUGGGUGUAUGCGGGAAAAGAGAAAGAUCAGUGCGAGGGAUAUUUCUUCCACCAUGUAAAUUAUCUUAAAAUCCCAACGGUUUAUAUGUGCAGAGAUAAGUUCUGAACCUCGUGUUCAAAUUUCAUGAUAAUCUAACGGUUAAUAAGUCUGAGAUCAUUGGUUUACUGAGACAAAUUUGAUUGUAUGCGGGAAAAAUAAAGUGUUUUGGGAAGGGGAGAAGGAAAAACGAAUUUGAAAUGAAUAACAUUAUGAUAAACUUAUUUAUUUAUUUAUUUGUUUUAUAAAAAGAACUCUAUUUUAUUUCCUAUCAAAUGAAUAAAUAAAAUAUCUUUUUUUAUUUUCUUUCAUACUAUUAUUUUAAUUAAUAAAAUUAUUUCUCCUUAUUUAUUUAAUUAUAAAAACCUCAUGAUUUUUCUAAAAAUAUAUUUGUUUUUAAAUAAAAAAUCCUUUUUAAUUUAUUUUACGAAAAAUGGGGCGUUACAAGAAGUAUAACAUGCUUUGUAGUAAUAUCAUGUGAGCAUAAGAGAACUACAAGACGCCUUAUCGAACCCAACAAAGCUAAUUGUCAUUUGUAAUGAUGAUAGUUGUGCUUGGAGGUGCAAGGAAACAUACAUUCUUGCAAAUAAGAAAGCUUCGUGAAUCCCAUACAUGCUCAAAUCCAUCAAUCUCACAAGAUCAUGCAAAGUUGUCACAUCUACUCAUCAAUAAAAGCAUCCACUCAUUGAUUGAAAAUGAUCCACCAACUUCAAGGGUUUAGCAAAUUACACUUGCACUCCUAUGUCUAUUACUUAUUACACUCAAUCUCACUCACUUUUUUUAUCAUACACAAGACUCCCUUGUUUUUACCAUCCAUUAUAUUGUUACCCCCUGACCCACUAACAUUGUUAGAAAUGUUAACAAAAACUAGGCCACUAUGCCUCUAAAUAAUUUAUUUUCCCUAAAAUACCCUUAUCUUUUUCCUAGAAAACCCUUAUUGCGUGUAAUUGAUUUAGGUCACCAUGUUCUUACUCAGUCGUCUCAUGGAGCAACAAUUGGGUAUGAGGUAGUCACACUGCCGCACCAGCCAUCUUGGUCAGUAAUGAAUUGAGAGAGUCAAAGGGAGAGGACAAGAUGCUAAGGAUGGAAGGGAACCUACGGUCACUACUAAAAAAAACAUUUUUGACAUCGGUUAUUUUGGAAAUUCAACAAUGAUUUUAAACCCAUGUUGAAAUUACUAAUGUUAAAAGUAUCAACAUUAACAUCGAUUAUGAAAAAAUCGAUAUUAAAAUACACAAUACAACAUUGGUUUUUACAAAAACCGAUGUCAUAUAAUAAGAAAUGUAUAAAAAAAAUAACAUCAGUUAUGCAAAAACCAAUGAUGUAAUGCACAUAACAACAUUGGUUUUCAACAAAAUUGAUGUUAACAUACAUUACAUAACAUUGAUUUUUAUGAAAAUUAAUGUUGUACAAUAAGAAAUGUACAAAAAUGCAAAAACAUCAAUUUUGGUUAAAACAGAUGUUGUUAGAUGCAUUACAACAUCAGUGUAUGUUGCAUUACAACAUCGAUUCUCCAGAACCAAUGUUGUUUUUGCAUUUUUCUUUAAUAUGUUGUUUAUUUUGUUAAUUAACUUAAACCUGCAAAUUGAAAUUAGAACCAAUCCAGGCAAUAUAAAUUAUUAUUGAAUAAUUACUAUCAAAUGAAACAAAUACUUAAAGUAACAAAAUAAUAAUCUCAAUACAUAAAAUCAUCUAUGACCUAAGCUAAUUAACAUAAUUCUACAAUUGUAAAAUUCCUUAAAUACCUAAUGUUUCAUUUUUAACUUUUAGAAAAUAAGUUGAAGGGACAUAAGGUAAAACACAGGAAAUAUAGCAUGUGGACUCAUUCAAUUUUUUAAAUGAUAACAGAAACAAUAGAUCUCAGUGAAGCAAGUAUUAAAAAGCAUGAAGAGACAAAUAUCAACAAUUGUUGCCUUAAAUCAACAAGAAGCAAAUCUACAUCAAUUUGGUUUUAAAUGGAAUGGCAGAAAAAAAUUCUAGUAUUGACAUAUGCAUAAUGAGAAGAGGACAACAAUCUCUAAAACGAAAAAUAAAAGGUUUAAUUAUUCUAUCUGAACUUUUUUUUUUCUUUCAAUUGAUUCACUUUUUUUUUCUUUCAAUUGGUUCCUAGAACUUGUCUGUAUUUUUUAAUUAGGUCUUUGUUAGACCUAAUUAAAAAACAAAUAUAGGUUUAAGACCAUUGUGUUCUUUGUUUUUUUAAAAGGAAAUCAGAGUUAGGGUGGGGGUGGGAAGUGCCAUUGUAUUUUCCUAAUUAAUUAAUGAAUCAGGUCAAUAAUAUAUAUAAGGUCUACACAACUCAUAAUGAUAACACAUAUAAAAUGGGAAAAAAAAUUCAAGCAAAGACAUUCAACAGUAUUUCUGGUUCUCGUUCAAUUAAGCAUGUUAACUUCACCUAUUGGCCCACUCCUAAAUGCAGUAGUUGGAGAUUUAAAGCACUCAACUUAGUUAUAAAGUAGAUGUGUCAUCUAUAAUAAUUGGAAAUAUUCAGUUUGUUUUAAAACUUAUUUUCAGGAUGAAAAAGAGAACAAAAUUUUACUUUCCAACCAUAUAUAUAACAGUAAAAAGGAAAAAUAUCAAAGUCAAUAAAAAUUAUAAAUAAAUAAAAUAUUCAAGGUCGUAAUCAUUUUAUUCCAUAUAAUUAAGGUGGUUCAUAUGGCCCUAAUUAAACACGUGUAGGAGUACAAGUAACUUCACACGUACAUAUUCUUGCAACUGAAAGUUAGAUGUAAAAGCAAAAGGCACUAUAGAUUGUUCCUUAUAAUUAGACUAUUGCUAUACAUAAUCAAGUUUUUAAUUUUCGAAAACACAUUAACAUUCAACUAUAUAUUUCAUGUAGGAAUUAGUUAAAAUUAUGGUAAAAAAUAUAUUUAAAGGAAAAAAAUCACAUUUUAUCAUGCUAUACCAACAAUAAUGUGGUUAAGGUGAUGCAGAGGGGUUAAAUUGAGCUAUGAUAACAUAUUCAAGCAUCCAAAUCAAGGACUUAAAACUCAAGAAUGAAAACUCUUGAGCAGAGUAGAAGUCCUAACCAAAGCUUUGCUCUCUUUGAUAUUAAUUGUUGGCAAAUUUUUAUUAUGUUAGCAUGCUAGAAUCUUAAAAUAUGAGAGGACUACUCUCCACAGGCUUGCUAGACUCCUAAAACAACUGAACAAAAUUUUCUACUAUUUUUCCAUGGGUUAUUUCAAAAAGAAAGUUUAGGAGGAGAUAAAAUAAGAGUAGAAUCAAAAUACAUAAUUCAAAUCAUAAAAUAAGAAAGUCUAAAUGGUCUGAAUUUUUUCAUGAGAACUUAUAAUACUUUUGUGACACUAGCAAAUGAUCUGAAUUUUCAUAACUAUUUUAAAAUGAAUUCUCAGACAAGCAUCUGUUAUCACAAAAUUAUUAUGCAGCUCUAAAACCAUAAAAUGGUUAUAGCAAAGUAGUCUAAAUGGGAAGGGAAAAAGUAUGCAGUAAAGUGCACACAUAAAUAACUACCUGAACUUGUUGGACAAGUUCCUGUUCAUCUGAAUCAGCAAGUGAAUCUGAGUGUCCUUCAAUAUGUUGGAGAAAACUGUAAUUUCAGAAUGGAUUCACAGUGUCUUCAAAUCAAUGGGAGAAAACUACUAUUUAACAAGGGGAAAUUAAAAAUUAAAUUUCUAAAGGAUUGCCUUGUAUCUUAUAAAAAAAUUUAAAGAACCUACAUAUAUAGAUGAUACUCUCCAAAGCCAUGUCUGAGGCAAAAGCCGGAUUGGAGAUCCCGUGUGUGCUGGCACGUGCAGAAGGCACACUUGACAUCGAUCUUCCUUCUCCACUGGCUUGGAUUUGGG